rnacentral:rRNA from 1 species
GUAAGGAAUAUUGGACAAUGGACGCAAGUCUGAUCCAGCCAUGCCGCGUGAAGGAUUAAGGCCCUCUGGGUUGUAAACUUCUUUUAUAGGGGACGAAAAAAGGGCUUUCUAGCUCGACUGACGGUACCCUAUGAAUAAGCACCGGCUAACUCCGUGCCAGCAGCCGCGGUAAUACGGAGGGUGCAAGCGUUAUCCGGAUUCACUGGGUUUAAAGGGUGCGUAGGCGGGUAGGUAAGUCAGUGGUGAAAUCUUCGAGCUCAACUCGGAAACUGCCAUUGAUACUAUUUAUCUUGAAUAUUGUGGAGGUGAGCGGAAUAUGUCAUGUAGCGGUGAAAUGCUUAGAUAUGACAUAGAACACCAAUUGCGUAGGCAGCUCGCUACACAAAUAUUGACGCUGAGGCACGAAAGCGUGGGGAUCAAACAGGAUUAGAUACCCUGGUAGUCCACGCCCUAAACUAUGAUUACUCGACAUAUGCGAUACACUGUAUGUGUCUGAGCGAAAGCAUUAAGUAAUCCACCUGGGAAGUACGACCGCAAGGU